rnacentral:lncRNA from 1 species
CUCGGCUGCCGCCGGGACGAGCUUCGGGAACUGGUCCCUGGUCGGGAGGACCGGUCCCCGCACACGAAAAUGCCCAGUCUGGGCUGGUUGAAUAGAGUAAAAGUGGAGGGGUUUAAUUGCAUUUUUGCAACCCAUUGAGCUAAGUAUGAGGACAAAUGAGAUAUUUCUCUCAUUUCCCACUUCUCAUUCCCUCUCAUCUCUCUUUCUCUCUCUAGAAGACAAGAAGGAGAAGAAAAAGAGAAAGAAAGGAAAUGAGAAGAAGAAGAAGAAAGUGGAGAAGAAGUAGAAGGGGUGAAGAAACUCCCUCUCCCUCAUCUCUAGCUUCGAAAAGAAAGGCUUACAAGGUAAGCUUUGAACCCUAAAUGUGGUAGAAUCCAAAUUAGGGUUUGGAUUGAGUUAAUAAUGAUUUUUAUAGGAUCUCUAGAGUCUUUGAAGCUUUCUUUUGCUUCCUUUUGAGAUCAAAACCAUGGUUUGGUAUAGAGGUGAAGCUUGAAGGUGAGCUUCAACACCUCUCAUGGUGAAACCCAAACUAGGGUUUUGAUUGAGCUAGAAAUGGUUUAAAUGGACUUUUUAGAGUGCCAUGAAGUUUCUUUUGCUUCCCAAUGAGAUCAAACCCUAGGUUUUCUUAUGCUAUGGAGCUAGGGCACCCAAAUUGGGGCUUUAGCUUAUGGGGAUUUCUAAGUGAAAUUGACCCUCUAGAAAUCUAAUUGGGGACCAAAUGAACACGUUGGUGCGCUCGGUUUGAGUAUACGAAAAGCCAAUGUAAAGAUAUGAGCAAAAUGGCCUAAUAGGGCUUCGUUUUGCAGCAGGUAAAGAACGAAGGGUCUAAAAAUCCCAAGAAAAUCAUCGGAGCACCUUUGAAAACCUACGAGGUGGGUGGUGCUUUUCAAACUCAUUGAACUUCUCUCUAUGCCUAAUGUGUCAUUCAAUUGAGCAUAUGUAUAUACAUUGUUGCAUGCAUUUUAGGGUAAAGCAAUGAUAAAAGUGUGAUGUUGCAUGAUUGUGAGUACAACUUGCGUAAUGUGAUGAUUAAGAACCUUAUGAAUAUCAAAAACCCUAUAUAUGUAUGCAUGAGAGAAAAUAUGAGUACCAAAGUGAGGCGAAAGAACAGAGUGACACAAUGAGACAUAGAUCGAGUGGCAUUUGGUAAUGUAAAGUAAAGUGACACUAGAGGUAGUGUGAGGCAAAGAAUCAAUGUGAUGUAAAGAAUAAUGAUAAUGACUAAAGUGAAAACAAAGUGGGGCGUAAAGAACAUGAUUGCUAGAGUUAGCAAAAGUAAAGAAAGGUAAAGAACAAUGAUUGCUAGAGUAGCAACAUAAAGUGAUGUAAGGAACACUAGAGUUAGUGUAAAGUCAAGAUUGAACAUACAAUAGUUUUGAGUUAAGGAUUCGAUCAUAUUUGCUAUGAGUUCCGUGGUCGAGGGUGGUCGCUCCCCCUCGGGCGAUGCGCUCCGGAGUUUUUGCAUCACGGGUUGGAAUAAACCCGAAGAACGGUCUUAGCGGGAGGAAGCUGAGGGCCCGCGAUGAUGGACUUAAUGUGAAGCAAGUUAAUGUGGCGAAACUCCCGGGUUAGCCUUGAGAUUAAAGAACAAAGAACAAAGAACAAAGAACAAAGAACAAAGAACAAAGAACAAAGAACAAAGAACAAAGACAAAGUGUAAGGUGUAAAGAACAAAAGAACUUGCAUAAUCUGCAUGUGUUAAUGUUGAGCAUAUUUUCUGCUUAUUGUUCAGGCAUAUUAGCAUCAUAUUAUAGAUUGGUUACUAUAUGCAGCUUUUCCCUUUUAUUAUGCCUGAGUUAGUCCUAGUGGGAAAGUCGGUGAGAUUGAGGCCGAACCCACUGAAAACUUUGUUGUAGUUCUCACCCCACUAUUUCCACAUAGCCGGGACCGAGCGGGCUGGCGAGCGACUGCGGUAUAGGUAUCGCACCAUAGCAAGAGGCUACCAGUGCUGAGUUUACAUUUUGUAGUUGUAGCACACUGGACCUUUGCAAAUUGCGAGGUUCGAGUGUUUGGAUGUAUUUCGAGCUUUUCCACACUUGGUGGAGGGUUGUAUAAUAUUUUCCGACCUAAAAAGUUCGAAAACUGGAAUUCUGGACAAGUCCUGAGAGUUUUUACUCUCGGGGACCGGUCCCUGGAAGGAGAGACCGGUCCCCCAGUGAGCAGUGUUGCGGCAGCCCUGAGGUAACCGGUCCCUGGCGGGCGAGACCUGUAAGGUACCGAACUUCUUAAAUUAUGAAGUUGCGGCGGGGUGUAAUAUGCUGAAAUUUUAAUAUAAAAAUAAAUAUAAAUGAAAAUAGUGUGAAAUACUAUUUUAUUGGACUUAUAGACAUAAAAUAUAAGUCUGGAAUGGCCCGUGUUGAAAUCGGAGCGAAAACAGAAGAUUUAGAAUUUUCUGUGUGAAAUGGGGCAGAUAAAUUAGCAGAAAAUGCAUAGUGUCAGAAAAUUCUGAAAACUGGAGGAUAAGCCCGAAUUAUUCUUAUGAGGCUAGAUUUAAAGUUUCAUAUCAUUUUGACACCCGGAAGGUGGAAAAUAAAAUCCAAUAGUGAUCUGAUAAAGAUUACAGUUCGGUACAGCUUUCGGUGACCAAACGGGGUCGAAACUGAAAUAUUAAAAUUUCUUUGGACUCUUUAAGUAAAACCGAACAUGACUGUCAGAUUUGAGCUCAAACGGAUAUUCAGGGAGCUCCGGCGAAAGAUAUCAGAUUUUGAGCUGCCUGAUGUGAAUAGUGUAUGCUACUAUUGAGGUGUUGACUAUAAGUAGAAGCUACUAGGCUUCUUCUUCCUCCUCAGCUGCAGCCAGCACAAGCAUCACACGCACAUGGUGAAGGAGAGAGAAACCCUCUCUUUCUCUCUCUAAAUAUCUCUCUCAUCUCUCUAGAUCUUUCGCCCAAAUUCGCGGCGUUGGUGGAGAUCGAGCUUGCGAACGCGUUGGAGGCGACGGAUUGACGAUGGAGCUUUCGUGCGCCUGUUGGAGAGCGACUUGUUUUCGUUGCGGCGUUCACAUUGGGUAACCUUUUGGAUUUGGCUUAAUCCUUAACCUUAAGUGUCUAGUAGCCUCUAAUGAGCAUUCUUAGUUAUGUUGCUCCAUUUAAUUUGGAUUAUUUGGGGCUAAUUGCAUGUUAGGGCUCAAAAAUGGGAUUUUGCAAUACGUGAGGGUUUGAUCUAAAUUGAUCAUGUAUAAACCUAAUUGUUAGGUUUUCUGACGCGUUGGCGAAGUCGGUUUGGCGAUACGACGAGCGUACGCGAAGAUAUUAAAGAACGAAGCCGUUAGUGUACAGAUUGCCGCAACUUGCGGCGAAAGCUUCCAAAAAUCACGAAAAUCGGAAUCCUAGCCUCGUGAUAGAAUAAAAGGUGGGGCGUGUCAUCCCGAAAGCAAUGGUUUCUUUUUAUGUCUAAGUUAAUUAUGUUGAUCAUAUUGCGCUAUAGGAAUAGAGUUGUACAUUUCAUUCCUUGCAUGUUUCUUGGUGGCGUAGCGGUGGGUGAGCUUGACACGUGACUAGGAUACAUGAGGAUUGGGUCUUGUGACAUUAGAAUCCUAUAGCGGCAUUAAAGAGCCGAACUUGGACAUAGCCUAGUAGAGUGGCAUCGAAACUAGUGUGGUAAGAAGCACUAUGACAUGAACAGGUGACAUGUAGAAUAAUUGAGACAUUUACUACAAUGACUAAACGAGUGGCAUUGAGUCUAGUGUAGUAAACAUGACAUGGUUCUAGGGAUGGAUAGAAGUCUACAACAUUGAUUAUAUAUCAUGAUUGUGCAGAAGAGGCCAUUGACCCUAGUAGACAGGGUAUCCUCUUGAGAGGAUUUGAUCAUACUCACUAGUCUGUUUUUGCUUGUCGGUGGGUCGCUUCCACCGAGGCACGAGUUCUCGCGAGUAUUCACGAGGGGCAGACGUAGUUGCCCCGCAGACGGUCUCGGUGUGCGAGUGCAGUUCCUCACCUAUGAGAUUGAAAGUGAGUCGAGGGUUAACACGGGUUAACCAAGUAGAUGUGGGUAAUGAACAUGAACUGCAUAGUAAGAUUUAAUCAUUAUUAACUCGAGUAACAUAGUGUAUGUGUAGAUUACAUUGCUAUGUACUUUAUAUUACUCAUGACAUGUACUAGCAUGAUGUAGUUGUUGCAAACAUUAUCAUCAUUGAUGGCAUGAUACAGUAGUUGCAGUUAUUUCGCUAUAUAUCUAUCUAUCUCUCUAUCUGUGACAGCUUAGACCUAAGUGGAAAACCGCGCGUCGGCGCCGAACCCACUGGGAACUAUAUUAUAUAAGUUCUCACCCGUGUGGUUUUGGGUAACAGGUACACACAGAGGCGACGAGCGAGGACCGCGGCAAGGGCAUAGCCGCCGCUAAGUGAGCCUAUUAGUAGCUUUUUCUUUAUGCAUUAGAGUACCCUCGUUACAGAUGAGUUUUUGGAUAAGGCUACUUAUAUUUUGAAGAAAACAUGUAUUUACAUUUUGGAAGAUGAAAAUGUAAUAUAUUCAAAUGAUGUAAAUGUUGAAUGAUUGUGAUAGUUAGACUAUCUCUCUUUAUACACUUGUAUAUUACUUGUGGUUCUUGCUCUUAGAUGUAUUGCACUUGUGUGCAUCGUGUUUGAUCAUGUAUGUUAUUUAAGCAAAUAACUGGGUGCUUAAUUGUACAUGAUCUGGUUGCUUAGCCUUGGGCGGACAGGAGAGGUGCUGUCCGUUCGGCGUCUGUUCGACGCGCCCGAACCGGACCGAAUUGGUAGCGGUCUCGGGGCGUGACAGAGUUGUUGGUAUCAGAGUCACUAAGAGCAAGUAAAGAGAGAGUCUAGGAUGGCGCCGGCGGAAUUGAAAGAGUUGCGGGCACAAUUGAUAGAUCUCAUUGAUAAGGGAUUCAUACGGCCAAGUGUAUCACCGUGGGGAGCCCCGGUCCUAUUCGUGCGAAAGAAGGACGGAUCAUUUUGACUCUGCGUAGACUACCGCGAGUUGAACAAGGUCACGAUCAAGAACAAGUACCCGUUGCUGAGGAUUGACGAUCUGUUUGAUCAGUUGCAAGGAUCUCGGGUUUAUUCAAAGAUUGAUCUACAAUCCAGUUAUCAUCAACUCAAGAUUAAGCCGGAAGAUGUGCACAAGACCGCGUUUCGCACGCGGUAUGGACACUAUGAAUUCACGGUCAUGCCGUUUGGGCUCACUAACGCCCCGGCAGCAUUCAUGGAUUUAAUGAACCGUGUCUUCAAAGAGUACUUGGACCGAUUUGUCGUGGUCUUUAUAGACGACAUCUUGGUCUACUCGCGCAGCGACGAGGAACAUGCCGAGCAUUUAAGGGUCGUGCUUCAAAUCCUUCGGGAGGAGAAGUUGUAUGCUAAGUUUAAGAAAUGUGACUUUUGGCUCCGAGAGGUUGCAUUUCUUGGGCAUGUCAUUUCCGAGGGAGGAGUAUCUGUUGACCCGAGGAAAGUGGAGGCGAUCAAGGAUUGGCCUCGCCCGACUAACGUCACGGAAGUUCGAAGCUUCGUAGGUUUAGCGGGUUAUUAUAGACGGUUCGUGGAGGGAUUCUCGAAGAUUGUGGGUCCACUUACCCGUCUGACUCAGAAAGGCGCCAAAUUCAUUUGGAGUAACGAGUGCGACCGGAGUUUUCAAGAGUUGAAGGAUAGAUUGACUUCGACUCCGGUACUCGCCUUACCGAUGCAAGACGAAGACUUCGUGGUGUAUAGCGACGCGUCACAAUCGGGCUUAGGGUGUGUUCUGAUGCAGGGCGGGAAGGUGAUCGCUUAUGCGUCCCGUCAGCUGAAGAUCUAUGAGAAGAAUUACCCUGUCCAUGACUUGGAGUUGGCCGCGGUAGUGUUUGCCCUCAAGCUAUGGAGGCACUACUUGUAUGGCGCGCGUUGCGAGAUAUACACGGACCACAAGAGUCUAAAAUACCUUUUCACGCAAAAGGAGCUCAAUAUGCGACAGCGGCGGUGGUUGGAAUUGCUGAAGGUUUUGAUGUGACAAUCCUAUACCACCCCGGAAAAGCGAACGUGGUGGCUGACGCGCUUAGCAGGAAGUCAGUGGAAAAUCUGGCUAUGUUGGUCACACGUCAAGAACCUCUGUGGAGAGAGAUGGAACGAUUGGAUCUCGAGAUGGUAGCUCCGGAAAUCCCGUCUAUGCUUACGGCUCUCGUUGUCCAACCGACCUUGUUGGAGCAGAUAAAUAGUUUGCAAUCUGCGGACCCCAAUCUCCAAAAGGUGCGGCGAGACAUCGAGAGUGGACACGGCGGUGAUUUCAGUGUAGAUGUUGAGGGUGCGCUUCGGUUUCGAAACCGAUGGUGCGUAUCGGAAAACGAGGAAGUCCGAAAGUUAAUAUUGCAAGAAGCACAUCGGACUCCUUAUAGUAUUCACCCGGGUGGCACCAAGAUGUACCGUGAUCUGAAGAUGCAGUACUGGUGGCCGGGCAUGAAAGCAGACAUUGGGCGCUAUGUAGCGCAGUGCCUAGUAUGCCAGCAAGUGAAGGCUGAACAUGGCAAUCAUAUUUAUAUAGUUCUCACCCCGUGUGUGUUUUGGGUACAGGUAAACAUCAGGCGAGAGGCUAAAGCACCGCGGCGCCGGAGGAAGGCAGGAAAGAGGGAACAGAGCGCCCUAGUACGCUCAAGUUAUGGGUAAGCUUGUUAUGUGUGCCAUAUGAGUGCAUGUACCGAGGUUAAUCCCAUCCGAAGCGUGUACUAGAUAAUGUUUGGAAGAUAAUUAUGCCGGGGAUGGCUAAACUUAUAAUACCAGUUGAAGGAGAAAACAAAGUAAUAUAGCAUUUUGUAGAGACGAGAGUCAAAGAUGGUAUAUUUAAUUUCAGAGAUGAGCGGUAAAUGUUAAGAGAUUGUGAGGAGUUUAGAGAGCUAUCUCUCUAUAUUAUUAGAACACUAUAUAUAUAAAUUGUAGAGUGUUGCGUGCUUAGAAAGAAUAGGGCGAGACUUCGUGAUACAUCGGAAUGAGGCUGAAAUUUUAAUAUAAAAAUAAAUAUAAAUGAAAAUAGUGUGAAAUACUAUUUUAUUGGACUUAUAGACAUAAAAUAUAAGUCUGGAAUGGCCCGUGUUGAAAUCGGAGCGAAAAUAGAAGAUUUAGAAUUUUCUGUGUGAAAUGGGGCAGAUAAAUUAGCAGAAAAUGCAUAGUGUCAGAAAAUUCUGAAAACUGGAGGAUAAGCCAGAAUUAUUCUUAUGAGGCUAGAUUUAAAGUUUCAUAUCAUUUUGACACCCGGAAGGUGGAAAAUAAAAUCCAAUAGUGAUCUGAUAAAGAUUACAGUUCGGUACAGCUUUCGGUGACCAAACGGGGUCGAAACUGAAAUAUUAAAAUUUCUUUGGACUUAUUAAGUAAAACUGAACGUGCCUGUCAAAUUUGAGCUCAAACGGAUAUUCAGGGAGCUCCGGCGAAAGGUAUUAUAUUUUGAGCCGCUAAACUGAAAUUGUGCUAAAGUGAAUAGUGUUGGUGUUGACUAUAAAAAGGAGUGUUGACUCCUUCUUCCUCCUCAGCUGCAGCCAGCACCAAGCAUCACACGCACAUGGUGAAGGAGAGAGAAACCCUCUCUUUCUCUCUCUAAAUAUCUCUCUCAUCUCUCUAGAUCUUUCGCCCAAAUUCGCGGCGUUGGUGGAGAUCGAGCUUGCGAACGCGUUGGAGGCGACGGAUUGAGCUUUCGUGCGCCCGUUGGAGCGACGUGUUUUCGUUGCGGCGUUCACAUUGGGGUAAACUUUUGAGAUUUGGCUUAAUCCUUAACCUUAAGUGUUCUAGUAGCCUCUAAUGAGCAUUCUUAGCAUGUUGCUCCAUUUAAUUUGGAUUAUUUGGGGCUAAUUGCAUGUUAGGGCUCAAAAAUGGGAUUUUGCAAUACGUGAGGGUUUGAUCUAAAUUGAUCAUGUAUAAACCUAAUUGCUAGGUUUUCUGACGCGUUGGCGAAGUCGGUUCGGCGAUACGACGAGCGUACGCGAAGAUAUUAAAGAACGAAGCCGUUAGGGUACAGAUUGCCGCAACUUGCGGCGAAAGCUUCCAAAAAUCACGAAAUCGGAAUCCUAGCCUCGUGAUAGCGAUAAAAGGUGGGGGGUGUCAUCCCGAAGCAAUCGGGUUUCUUUUUAUGUCUAAGUUAAUUAUGUUGAUCAUAUUGCGCUAUAGGAAUAGUAGUCGUACAUUUCCAUUUCCUUGCAUGCUUUCUUGGUGGCGUAGCGGGGUGAGCUUGACACGUGGACUAGGAUAGCAUGAGGAUUGGGUCUUGUGACAUAGAAUCCUAUAGCGGCAUAAAGAGCCGAACUUGGACAUAGCCUAGUAGAGUGGCAUCGAACUAGUGUGGUAGAAGCACUAUGACAUGAACAGGUGACAUGUAGAAUAAUUGAGACAUUUACUACAAUGACUAAACGAAUGGCAUUGAGUCUAGUGUAGUAAACAUGACAUGGUUCUAGGGAUGGUAGAAGUCCCAACAUUGAUUAUAUAUCAUGAUUGUGCAGCAGAGGCACAUUGACCCUAGUAGACAGGGUAUCCUCUUGAGAGGAUUUGAUCAUACUCACUAGUCUGUUUUUGCUUGUCGGUGGUCGCUCCACCGAGGCACGAGUCUCCGGAGUACUUCACUAGGGGCAGACGUAGUUGUCCCGCAGACGGUCUCGGUGUGCGAGUGCAGCUUCUCCUCACCUAUGAGAUUGAAAGUGAGUCGAGGGUUAACCUACGGGUUAACCAAGUAGAUUGGGUAAUGAACAUGAACUGCAUAGUAGAUUUGCAUUAUUACCUCGAGUAGACAUAGUGUAUGUUGUAGAUUACAUUGCUAUGUACUUUUAUAUACUCAUGACAUGUACUAGCAUGAUAGUAGUUGUUGCAAGCAUUAUCAUCAUUGAUGGCAUGAUAGAGUAGUUGCAGUUAUUUCGCUAUAUAUCUAUCUAUCUCUCUAUCUGUGCCAGCUUAGACCUAGUGGGAAAACCGGCGGCGUCGGCGGCCGAACCCACUGGGAACUAUAUUAUAUAGUUCUCACCCCGUG